rnacentral:rRNA from 1 species
UACGGAGGGUGCAAGCGUUAUCCGGAUUCACUGGGUUUAAAGGGUGCGUAGGUGGGCAGGUAAGUCAGUGGUGAAAUCUCCGGGCUUAACUCGGAAACUGCCAUUGAUACUAUCUGUCUUGAAUACCGUGGGGGUUAGCGGAAUAUGUCAUGUAGCGGUGAAAUGCUUAGAUAUGACAUAGAACACCAAUUGCGAAGGCAGCUGGCUACACGAAUAUUGACACUGAUGCACG